CUAAGAAUCUUGCGCAAUGGGCGAAAGCCUGACGCAGCAAUUCCGCGUGGGGGACGAAGGCCCUCGGGUCGUAAACCCCUUUUGUGAGGGAAGAAGUUCUGACGGUACCUCACGAAUAAGACACGGCUAACUACGUGCCAGCAGCCGCGGUAAUACGUAGGUGUCGAGCGUUGUCCGGAUUUGUUGGGCGUAAAGAGCCCGCAGGCGGCUUGGUAAGUUCGAGGUGAAAUCUCCCGGCUCAACUGGGAGGGUGCCUCGAAAACUAUCAGGCUUGAGGCAGGGAGAGGGAUGUGGAAUUCCCGGUGUAGUGGUGAAAUGCGUAGAUAUCGGGAGGAACACCAGUGGCGAAGGCGGCAUCCUGGCCCUGUCCUGACGCUCAGGGGCGAAAGCGUGGGGAGCAAACC
rnacentral:rRNA from 1 species